GAGGUAGUAGUUCAAUUGGUAGAUCAUGCUAGGAUGUGGGUUCGAUUCCCAUCUGCCUCA
rnacentral:tRNA from 1 species